rnacentral:tRNA from 1 species
GACCCGUUAGCUCAGUUGGUAGAGCAUCUGACUUUUAAUCAGAGGGUCGAAGGUUCGAAUCCUUCACGGGUCA